rnacentral:rRNA from 1 species
GGUGCAUGAAGUCGGAAUUGCUAGUAAUCGCGGAUCAGCAUGCCGCGGUGAAUACGUUCCCGGGCCUUGUACACACCGCCCGUCACACCAUGGGAGCCGGUAAUACCCGAAGUCAGUAGUCCAACCUCGUGAGGACGCUGCCGAAGGUAGGAUUGGCGACUGGGGUGAAGUCGUAACAAGGUAUC